CACGUAGUUAGCCGGGGCUUCUUAGUCAGGUACUGUCAUUUUCUUCCCUGCUGAUAGAGCUUUACAUACCGAAAUACUUCUUCACUCACGCGGCGUUGCUGCAUCAGGGUUUCCCCCAUUGUGCAAUAUUCCCCACUGCUGCCUCCCGUAGGAGUUUGGGCCGUGUCUCAGUCCCAAUGUGGCCGAUCACCCUCUCAGGUCGGCUACUGAUCGUCGCCUUGGUGGGCCGUUACCUCACCAACCAGCUAAUCAGACGCGGGUCCAUCUUACACCGAUAAAAUCUUUUCCGUCCGGGCCAUGCGGCCCUAGCGGGUUAUGCGGUAUUAGCAGUCAUUUCUAACUGUUAUCCCCCUGUGUAAGGCAGGUUACCCACGCGUUACUCACCCGUCCGCCGCUCAGUCAAACCACCUUCCUUCCGAAGAAAUCCGGUGGAGUGCUUCGCUCGACUUGCAUGUGUUAAGCACGCCGCCAGCGUUCAUCCUGAGCCAGGAUCAAACUCU
rnacentral:rRNA from 1 species